UCUUGAUCCAGAGACUUUCCAGAGAUGCUUUGGUGCCUUCGGGAACUCUGAGACAGGUGCUGCAUGGCUGUCGUCAGCUCGUGUUGUGAAAUGUUGGGUUAAGUCCCGCAACGAGCGCAACCCUUAUCCUUUGUUGCCAGCGGUUCGGCCGGGAACUCAAAGGAGACUGCCAGUGAUAAACUGGAGGAAGGUGGGGAUGACGUCAAGUCAUCAUGGCCCUUACGAGUAGGGCUACACACGUGCUACAAUGGCGCAUACAAAGAGAAGCGACCUCGCGAGAGCAAGCGGACCUCAUAAAGUGCGUCGUAGUCCGGAUUGGAGUCUGCAACUCGACUCCAUGAAGUCGGAAUCGCUAGUAAUCGUAGAUCAGAAUGCUACGGUGAAUACGUUCCCGGGUUUGUUACACACCGAAGAACUUCU
rnacentral:rRNA from 1 species